rnacentral:lncRNA from 1 species
CUUUGCCUCUGCUAACACCCUAUUGAACCGACAACCAAACGCACUUUAGCAUCCAAGAUUGCAUUUUUCUUUUUUUUUUUUUUUGUCCCAAAAUCCCAGAAAAACCCCCACAAUUUUGAAUCAUUCCUUCGGCUAAUUGCAAAGCAAAGAAUCCCAGAAAGGAAUUUCAUCGAACACGCAACACUUCGCGCGCAGAAACUCACUGUAAUAAUCACGAUUUGAUGACCCAACAAUGAAAUGGAUGGAAUUGAACUCACACUCUCCACCGUUUUCCUCUCUUCCACCAACCCAAGAUAUCUGAGUCAGAUUCACGGCCACCAAACGCUGUCGUUUCCAUUUCAGCUACCAUGAUCACCACCCUUCUUAAACCCCUUUUUAAGUCUCAGCUCCGGAUUAGGUUUACGCUUUCCUUCCCUCUUUCCCAUGGACGCUGCCAGCUCUCGUCCCGCUGUAGUAAUCGAUAAUGGCACUGGGUACUUAUUUAAUUUUUU